rnacentral:tRNA from 1 species
GUCAGGAUGGCCGAGUGGUCUAAGGCGCCAGACUCAAGGUGAUCAACCUUCCUCAAACGGGGCUUCUGGUCUCCAGAUGGAGGCGUGGGUUCAAAUCCCACUCCUGACA